UACGAAGGGGGCUAGCGUUGUUCGGAAUUACUGGGCGUAAAGCGCGCGCAGGCGGCUUCUCAAGUCAGGGGUGAAAGCCCAGAGCUCAACUCUGGAAUUGCCUUUGAGACUGAGUGGCUUGAGUACGAGAGAGGUGAGUGGAAUUCCCAGUGUAGAGGUGAAAUGCGUAGAUAUCCGGAGGAACACCGGUGGCGAAGGCGGCAUCCUGGACCAACACUGACACUGAGGAGCGAAAGCCAGGGGAGCAAACGGG
rnacentral:rRNA from 1 species